rnacentral:lncRNA from 1 species
CCUUUUAUAGCACCAAGGAGAGACCCAGGGUACAUGUAUAGGUGUCAGAGUAGGGGUCGAUAGAAGCAUGGCGCGCUGACCUACUCGAGGCCUCCGUACCGGCGUGGUCUCGAGCCGUCCCGUCUCGGUAGCUUGAUGAUGAUUACGCGUGCUCCUGUAUCCUGCUCUGCGCGCCGUCUUGGGCUGGUUCACCGGUCGCAUGCCUGUACGGU